rnacentral:misc_RNA from 1 species
UCUAAGAACAACCAAAACUAUUAUUGUCCCCAUCUUUUAUGGGGUUAAAAGAGGCUCAUAGCCAGGUAGAAAGAAAUUGAGAAUUGUGACGAGAAAACGGCAAGGUGAUCAAAAGCCUGCAACUUCAGUUUGAUCAAAAUAAUAACCAGUAGGGCCUCCAUUUGGUAGAAGAGCACACUUUACAGGACCUCUAGCUCCCUCUUCCACAGUCAUCGGUCCUGUAUGCCAAUUGAGAUCGGUGUUGACAUAGCCAGGAUGAACACAGUUUAUGAGCAUAUUAGGAUACCUCUUGGCAAGAACUCUAGUGUAGGCAUUAAGGGUGGCCUUGGAGAUGCUAUAUGUUGGUAGCAUUAAUGACCAUCCACCAGCUUCAAGUCUAUGCUCUUUCAAGUCAUGCAAAAA